UCCAUCAUAGAAUCCAUCUUGAAGGUGUUAAUCUAUCAUAGAACAAUCUUACUUUUUCACAAGAAAUCCAAUGGAUCGGGUCAUGAAGGUCUUUUUUGUCAUCGCCCUGCUUCUUGUGGCCACAGAGGACCAGGGAGCAGUACAAGUAGCUUUGGCAAGGGAGUGUAAGCCACCGAUCCACCAGUUUGGCGGGUUGUGCACGAAUGACGACAAUUGUUUACGUAAUUGCCUGGCCGAUGGUUUUACCAAAGGAGUGUGUCAGGGUUUUAACGGAGGCAUAUGUUUGUGCACCAGGGACUGCUAGAUGUCCCUAUUUUCUUCUGAUAUACAGUCCGUGUAAUAAUAACUGAAUAAUACUAUAUCCGCAUCAAUGUAAUUUACGAUGCAUCCUCCAAAGUA